rnacentral:lncRNA from 1 species
GGACACUCUACCUGACCUUGAGGAUGUGUGUGCACGGAUUCAGAAGGAGCAAGGCUCCAUUGGGCUGUUUGCAAAGAAAGGAGACCUUUCCCUUGCAAGCCAAGCAACUCAAGAGGAGGGGAGUGAAGCUCCGCAAGCAAACAAGGCUGCUGCGCAUGGGAAGUUUGAGGAGAGGAGGUUCAAUGGGAACUGUGAUCACUGCAAGAAGCAUGGCCACAAGAAGAGCCAAUGCUGGAUCCUUCACCCACAUCUCAAGCCGGCAAAGUUCAUGAAGGACCGUGAGGCAAGGGCUAAUGCAUCAGAUGGAACGGGUGGAGCUGGUACAAGCAAAGGAAAGGAGAUAGAUGGGCGUGAGGCAGGGGAUGGGAAGUCUCUUGUUGCCUACACCGGGGCACCAAGCAACCGUGGGAACAAUGAUCAAGAGUAUCUAAGGAGAUCCGACCUUGAUGCUCUCAUUAAGAUGUUCAAGGAGAAUGGUAACAUCUUUGGGUAUUCUUUUGGUGCUAGGGUGAUAGAGAACUAUGAGAAUCUAACUAGAACUGAUAGGAUGCAUGAGAGCUUGAUAGAAAUGGUAAAUCAAUCUAGGAUUGCAAACUUUGCUAGAAAUGAUCAUGCAUUCAAACCAUCUAGUAUCCUUGCGCAUAUUGCUAGUUCUCAUGACAUUAAGCCAUUAGUGAUUGAUUCAGGUGCAUCUCAUCAUAUGAUAAGUGAUACUAGCUUGAUUAAAAACAUUGUGCCAAUGAAUGGAAAUGUAAUGAUUGCUAAUGGAGAUAAGAUUCCUAUUAGAGGAAUAGGAAGUCUUAAACUGUUUGAUAAGGAAACUAAAGCUUUUUAUAUGCCUGAAUUUACAUCAAACUUGUUAUCUGUUAAGAAGUGUGCUACUGAUUUGCAAUGCAAUGUUAUAUUCAGUCCUAAUGAUGUUAAGUUUCAGGAUAUUAAAAGCAGCAAGAUGAUUGGAAAGGGAGUGACUAAAGGAGAGCUAUAUUUACUUGAAGAUCUCACUCCUGUUUCUAGAUAUAGCUGCUCGUUUACUUCUGUUUCUAGUUCUGGUUUAAGUAAAAAUGCAUUGUGGCAUGCUAGAUUAGGACACCCUCAUAAUAAGGCUUUAAAACUGAUGUUGCCAGGUGUUUCCUUUGAGAAUAAUGAUUGUGAAGCUUGCAUUUUAGGCAAACAUUGUAGAACUGUCUUUACCAAGUCUACUACUGUUUAUGAAAAAUGUUUUGAUCUUAUUCAUUCUGAUGUUUGGACUGCACCCUGCCUAUCUAGAGAAAACCAUAAGUAUUAUGUAACUUUCAUUGAUGAAAAAUCCAAAUACACCUGGUUAACCUUAAUUCCAACCAAAGAUAGGGUACUUGAUGCAUUUAAAAACUUUCAAUCCUAUGUGACUAACCAUUACAAUGCCAAGAUAAAGAUUUUCAGGUCAGAUAAUGGAGGAGAGUACACGGGACAAGCAUUCAAGCUACACCUAUCUCAGCAUGGAAUCCUUCAUCAGACAAGCUGUCCCUAUACCCCACAACAGAAUGGUGUGGCUGAGAGGAAGAACAGGCAUUUGAUGGAAGUAGCAAGGUCCAUGAUGUUUCAAUCCAACGUGCCUAAGAAGUUUUGGAGUGAUGCAGUUGCUACGGCUUGUUAUCUCAUCAACAGGACACCAACUCUGAUUCUUCAAGGACAAUCACCAUUUGAGGUACUGAAUCAGUACAAGCCCUCUCUAGAGCAUAUGAAGAUCUUUGGAUGUUUGUGUUUUGUGAUGGUGCCUGGAGAGAUAAGAAACAAGCUAGAGGCUAAGAGUUCAAAGGCAAUGUUUAUUGGAUAUUCAUCAAGUCAGAAAGGAUACAAAUGCUAUGAUCCUAACACUAGGAGAGUGUUAGUAUCUAGAGAAGUGAAGUUUGUUGAAGAAAAAGGAUACUAUGAGGAACAAAUUCAAGAUGAUUUGAAAGACCUCACUUCUGAUAGAGCUGAAACCUUGAGGAUUAUCCUAGAGGGUCUCGGAAUCAACAUGAAUCAAGGUGGGAGGAGCACUACUCCAGUACCAGAUCAUCAGACUUCCAAUCUUGAGCAUGAGGGGGGGAAUGAAACAAGAACUCAAAACCGUGAAGAGACAAGUAGAGAAGAGAGUUCUGGUUCUCAUGAUCAAGCUGUGGAAUCAAAUGAUCAACAAGAAGAAGCUGAAGAGAGUCAGCUAAGGGAAGAAGGAGCUGAAGCAAGUCAGCUAGGAGAAGAAAGAUCUGAACCAAGUGUGCUGCCACAAGAAGAAGAACAAGAGAUGGCGCAAGAAGGGCCAGUGUUGAGAAGAAGUACAAGGCUGAGAAAGGAUCCUUCCAGUUGGGUAAACACAAGAGUGUACUACAAUGCCCAAGCUGUGAAGCAUCCUACUCAGGCCGUGUGUUCUUUUGCUCAAUAUCCAGAAGCACAUUGUGCAUUCAUGGUAAACUUAGAUGAGAAUCACAUUCCAAGAAGCUAUGAAGAGGCAAUGGAGGAUAAGGAAUGGAAGGAAUCAGUAGGAGCUGAGGCAGGAGCUAUGAUAAAGAAUGAUACAUGGUAUGAGAGUGAACUACCAAAAGGGAAGAAGGCAGUAUCUAGUAGAUGGAUCUUCACAAUCAAAUACAAGGCUGAUGGGCAGAUUGAGAGGAAGAAGACUAGAUUAGUAGCAAGAGGGUUCACUCAAACAUAUGGAGAGGAUUACAUUGAGACAUUUGCACCAGUAGCCAAGUUACACACCAUUAGGAUUGUCCUAAGCUUGGCGGUUAACCUUGGAUGGGGAUUAUGGCAAAUGGAUGUGAAGAAUGCAUUCUUACAAGGAGAACUUGAAGAUGAAGUCUACAUGUAUCCUCCACCAGGACUUGAACAUCUAGUGAAGAAAGGGAAUGUACUGAGGCUAAAGAAGGCUAUCUAUGGGUUGAAGCAAUCACCAAGAGCUUGGUACAACAAGUUGAGCACAACUCUGAACGGCCGAGGCUUUAAGAAGUCAGAAUUGGAUCAUACUCUCUUUACCCUCACUACUCCCUCAGGUAUGGUUGCUCUCCUUGUGUAUGUGGAUGACAUCAUUAUCACAGGGAGUGAUAAGGAAGGUAUCAAAGCAACCAAGGAGUUUCUCAAAUCUAUGUUUGAAAUCAAAGACUUGGGAGAAAUGAAAUACUUUCUUGGAAUUGAGAUUUGUAGAUCCAAGGAAGGCUUAUUCAUGUCCCAUAGAAAGUAUACACUUGAUCUUUUGAAAGGUGCAGGUGCUUAUGGAGGCAAGACAGCAAGGAUGCCUAUGGAGGAUGGCUACAAAGUACCAAGAGAGGGGGAGAUUGAAGACAGCAAGCCAUUUCAUGAUCCUAAACUCUAUAGAACACUUGUUGGCAAAUUGAUUUAUCUUACCAUUACAAGGCCUGAUAUAUGUUUUGCUGUGAAUCAGGUGAGCCAACACAUGCAGCUUCCCAAGGAACAUCAUUGGCGUAUGGUGGAGAGACUGCUGAUGUAUCUAAAUGGCUCGCCGGAUCAAGGAGUAUGGAUGGGUUGCAAUGGAAGCACAGAAGUGGUGGGCUAUUGUGAUGCUGAUUGGGCAGGAGAUAGAGCCGACAGGAGAUCAACAACCGGCUAUUGCACAUUCAUUGGAGGCAACUUGGUGACUUGGAAAAGCAAGAAGCAGAAGGUGGUGUCAUGUUCAAGUGCUGAAGCUGAGUAUAGAGCCAUGCUGAAGCUUACAAACGAGUUGGUAUGGAUCAAAGGCAUCUUGAAGCACUUGGAGAUUGAUCAAGCCACUCCAAUGACAAUGCAUUGUGACAAUCAAGCUGCCAUUCACAUUGCAUCCAACUCGGUGUUCCAUGAGAGAACCAAGCACAUUGAGGUUGAUUGCCACAAGGUGAGACAGAUGAUUGUGCUUGGAGUGAUCUUACCUUGCUAUACGAGAAGUGAAGAUCAGUUGGCUGAUGUGUUCACCAAGGCAGCAAGACAAAAGACUAUGGAGUCCAUUCACAUUAGAUUGGGACUCAUAGAUCUUGGGAAGAGAAGGAGCUGAUCCCCUUAGCUGUGAGAUCUUUACUCUUUUUCCCUCAUUAAGGUUUUAUCCCAAUGGGUUUUCCUUACUGAGGUUUUUAAUGAGGAAGAUCUCAUGGCUGUCCAAGCUUAGACUUUCACAAAGCUAAGCUUGAGGGGGAGUGUUAAGAUGGGUUCAGUAUAUGAGAAGAGAUGACUUGAGGAGCUAAGGGAAAUGGAGUUAGGAGAGGAUUGGGCAAGGCCGUACAGAAGCCGUACUAGGCCGUACAGAUUGGGCAAGGUAACUUGACCUCCGUGAACCAAAGUUACUUAGGUAACUUUGUGUGUUGAGAAGAAGCCUUGCAUAACCUUAUCUGAUCAGACUGUUGCAAAAGGAAGAAGGGAGCGCACAUGACAGCCUGUCCGCGGUUGGCAUAAAGCAAAAGGAACCUUAUCCUUAAGGAGGAAGCUUAUUGGAUCAUUUGAAUUAAAGCAAAAGCUUAUCCCUUGUAAUAGUGUAGUUUUCCUAAACCCUAGUCUCUAAUGUCGCCUCUCUAUAUAUUGUAAACUCAUGUCAUUAAUCAAUGUAAGAAAGUUAUGAGUCUCUCUUAGUCUCUUUGUCUCUCAAUGGUUCUAUACUAAGACUCUUAAUCUCAUUUCAUACUCAAAUCUCUUCUAAAUCACUUCUAGUCUUUCUUAUUCACUCAGAUUACUCUACUCAAUCCUAAAAGUGAUAUGGUAUCAGAGCCAGGUUCCUAGAGAACUUGGUUUCGUUGGGUUCUUUGAAGAUUCAAGAUUGAAGCUUUGAAGAAACAGUUUGGUGUUCUUGUGUUCUUAAGCGGUUCUGGGUAGUCUUUCUGAGUUCUAUUGGUUGUUUGAAGCUGCUAGUGUUCGCUCAAGACAGUUACCUCAAGAGAAAGUUAUUGAAGUCUAAAGGGUUCUACAUUCAACAUGGAGAGUGGGAUGAACAUGAACAUGAAGGUGGCGGUUUGUUUCAAGGGAAACAACUACUUGGUGUGGUCUCGGAUGGUGAGAACCACAGUGGGAAGCAAGGGGCUUUGGAAGCACAUCACGCCAGGAGAAGCUCCAAAGCUCAUCACUCAAGGAGAGGCUGAAGAUGAAGCGGCAAGCAAGGCAGAAGAGAAGUGGCAUCAAGAGGACAUGUUGGUGAUGUCUGUGCUUCAUGCGUCCCUUGAGCCGGCUAUUCUGGAUGCAUACAGCUACUGUGAGUCUGCUAAAGAGCUGUGGGAUACCUUGAAGAAGGUGUAUGGCAACACUUCAAACCUAAGCCGAGUGUUUGAAGUGAAGCAGGCUAUCAACAACCUGGUACAAGAAGACAUGGAGUUCACUAAGCAUCUAGGAAGAUUCAGAAGCCUCUGGUCCGAGAUGGAGAUGCUUAGGCCAAGCACAACGGAUGCUGAUGAGCUUAACAAAAGAAGAGAGCAAGACAAGGUCUUUGGGCUACUCCUCACGCUGAACCCGGCUUACAACGGUCUCAUCCAACACCUGCUGAGGGAGGACACUCUACCUUACCUUGAGGAUGUGUGUGCACGGAUUCAGAAGGAGCAAGGCUCCAUUGGGCUGUUUGCAAAGAAAGGAGACCUUUCCCUUGCAAGCCAAGCAACUCAAGAGGAGGGGAGUGAAGCUCCGCAAGCAAACAAGGCUGCUGCGCAUGGGAAGUUUGAGGAGAGGAGGUUCAAUGGGAACUGUGAUCACUGCAAGAAGCAUGGCCACAAGAAGAGCCAAUGCUGGAUCCUUCACCCACAUCUCAAGCCGGCAAAGUUCAUGAAGGACCGUGAGGCAAGGGCUAAUGCAUCAGAUGGAACGGGUGGAGCUGGUACAAGCAAAGGAAAGGAGAUAGAUGGGCGUGAGGCAGGGGAUGGGAAGUCUCUUGUUGCCUACACCGGGGCACCAAGCAACCGUGGGAACAAUGAUCAAGAGUAUCUAAGG